UUAUAUAUGCUACUUGCAUACAUAAUGAAUGUGCUGUAUGUAUAUAGAAUGCAUGUGCUAUAUGCAUAUAGAAUGCAUAUUCUACAUGUAUACAGAAUGUGUGUGAUGCAUGUAUAUAGAAUGCGUAUAGAAUGUGUGUGGUUGUGAUAUACAUUGUAUACCAAAUUAGUGAGCUAUCCACUAAACAAUUGAAAAAGCAAAAAUAAUAAAAGCCUCUUUUAAAUACAUUUUUUUUAAAGUUGUGAAGUAGAUAAGUCCCUAAUAUAUAACCCUUCAUUAUGGCUAUCCCACAUACAGAUAAGAUAACGCAUUAGGGAGCUGUCUACUAAAUCAAAAAAGCCCUCUUUCUUAAAUUUGCUUUCAUAGUUGCUAAGUAGAUAGGUUCCUAAUUUGGUUCCCCUUAAUUAUGGAAAUCCCUUGUAAGGAUAGGAUACCAAAUUAAGGAGCUGUUUACUAAACAGGUGAAAGAACAAAUAUAAGAAAAUCAUUUUUUCUUAAAUUUGUUCUUUUAUUUGUUUAGUAGAUAAGUCCCUAAUGUGGUAUACUUAAUUAUGGAAGACACAUUUAAGAAUACCAGGUUAGAGAGCUAUCUACUAUACAGCAAGAAGAUAAAACUUGAGAAAAAUUGACCUUUUACAUGGUCUAUUAAUCCACUGGGUAUUUAUUGAGGUCAACUUAAUUUAUAAUUUCCUUUCAGUUCUAGAGACUCUCUCUCUCCAAGAGUUGCCAAAGACUUGAUAAAAACAAAAAGACAAUCUAUGUUAGUGGUUACAUAAAAAGGAGACGGAUCGAUACCGAACGUUGGGAUCAACCUAAGACAAACGUGAUGUAUGGCAAAAAAAAACCGCAAUACAGGAUCUCGAGUAAUUAAAAACAUUACUCAGAUAACGGUCCCACUAGUCAUGUGGGAAAAGCGUGCUGAGAAAACGACUAAGAAAAAAAAACACGAAAAAUGAAUGAAAACGAACAGCUUCAACCGAAUAAUGUAUCAUGGAAAGAAGUGGUAGGAACAAGGGAAUACCCUUAU